AAAAGAUAUGAUUUGACUCUAUCAAACAAGGCAUGUAAAUUUUUAAAAUUAAGAGUUUCUUUAGAUUCUAUAUUGUCUUAUAAUAUCACAAUAUUGGGGUGUUAUCAAACAGUCCCUUAGUGAUUUACAAUUGAUAGAAUUGAGUAUGUUAUGUGAAUGCUAAGAUUGUUCUUCAAGCUUGUGGUAUGAACUUUAAUGCUAUGCUUAGUUGUUUAUGUGAAUUGAAAUCUCAUUGGAUUAUUAUGAUCAAAUGUAUGAUGUGUAUAAAACAUUGUUAUACAUGAUGAGGAUGUAGAAUGAAGAUGAAAUUAUCAUGUAAUUUUGAUAUAACGAGGAAUUUUGAGUGCAAGUCAUGUACGUAGCAAUGUACAUUGUGAGUAUUUGGACAUUGUAUGGAGUUUAAUUAUAUUUUUGAGUAAAAGAUUUGUAAGGGACCUAUUAGGGUUGAAGUUUUAUUAUUCAAAUGUGUAUAAACCAAGCUUGAGGGCCGGAAUUUAUGUAUUGUGGUUUUCUAUUGAGAUAUUCAUAAAUUUAAAUCCUUGAGUUUUAAUACAAUAAAAAAUUUUCUAAAAGAUUGCGUAUCUAGCACCUUGGUCUUAUACCACCAACGGAAGGUGGCUUUCUGAUAAAGCUCUCUUUUGUAUGGUUUUCAUAGAUUUCUUUGGUUUUUGUUUUGUGACAUUUGUUUGGGUUGUAGUUUGGAUUUUGAAGGUUUGUUUUUGGGUUCUAUAGGUUCAUGGCCAUUGCAGCUUUCAGCCUCUCACUUAAUAUCUCCUUGUAAAUUAUGUACACAUAGCAAGGUUAGAUGCAUCCUAAUCUCUCAUCCCCAUCUUUUCUUUCUAGAUAAAGUAUUAGAGAGAAAUUUAUGGGAUUUUGAGAGUAAGAUUGCUCCAUACAACUCGGUUUGUUGCAUUCCAACUAAACUCAAUAAACUUAUUCACGAAACACAAGAAGUGAAUAUAUGAAAUUUUUGGACUAUAAAUGAGGUUCAACAAAGCCUCAACAAGGAUGCACACCCUGAAGAGAUGCCAUGCAAAACAAAGGUCAACUCGUAUUGACAACACCUAUAUGUCAUUUCUCUUGGCUUUCCUGGCCCCUCUUUUGGACUGUCUGGAUUUGAUGGUUUCAUGAAUUUUACAUCUAUCAAUUCUUCUUUCUAGUUCAUGGCAUUCGUUCUAUCAGAUUUUGGCCUGCCUUAGUUCUAGGGUACAUUAAAGAACGAAAAAAACAUAAGAAUUAUAUUUAGAAAGAUAUUUGUUGUAAACCUUAGACCCUCCUUGAACAAUUAGGUUUGAUGCAUUGGCCGAACACUGGUGAUUAUAACACUGGUGAUUAUAGAGACGGUAGAGGUCAAGGAGGUAGGACAUGAAACCUUGUGAGAUCGAAGCGUUUUUUUUAGCAUUAGAGAAGAACUCGAGGGACUUUGGGAUCUAAUUUGCUAACAAAUGGAGUGCCUACUCUUGGAUGGUUUUUAACCUUUGCAUCUUUAUGUUUUCUCACCACAAUCUUCUUUAUAUCUGUGCUAUUAUAGGUUUUCCUCAUUGUUUUUGUUUGUUAUCUCUUCCUUUUUUUUUAUUAUAAUUGAUUUUGCACUAUGAAGCUCAUCAUAUUUUGUUAUGCUUUUAUGAUUCAGCUGAUUUUAUCUGUUCUUGUCAUGUGUUUUGUAUAUUGGGUUUAAAAUUUCUUCAGAAUGUCCUAGGAGAAAUUCUCAACAAUUUAAGCUCUAACUCUUAGACUAUAGGACUGAAUCUACAGUUUACAAGAAAAAGAUUUAGUAUGAUCCAUAAAACUUUCUUCUUAGAGAAUGUUUUAUUUUCUCUCGAUGACCCAAUUUUUUCCGUCUAACCAUUUUCUAUCUCUUCUGGGUUGGAUGCCUUAAUUGUGUUUUUCUUUUACUCCACAUCUCUCCCCUCUAUUUGAUGCUGCCUCCAUUUUGCCUUAAUUGCGUUCUGGAUUGGAUGCCUUAAUUGCGUUCUAGGUUGGAUGCCUUAAAACUUUCUGUCUUUUAUCGCCCUAAGGUCGUUGGCAUAGGACCUUGAUAGAUUGGUAUCGAUGGAUGCCUUAAUUCUAUUUUUCUCUAUUCUUCUUUUUUCUUGUUAUUUUUACCAUUGAUAGAAGUGAUAUUGAUGGAUAAAAUGAAAGUAGAUGUUGUUGGUAAUAGUAAUGGUUUGACCUGGACACAUGGUUUGGAGUUACUUUUUUCUUUUAUACCUAUCUGCCACUUUCCUAUUAGAUAAGGGCAAGCUUUCUAUGCUUCCCCUACAACAUAAAACUUAUAUACUUCCCCUUAUCCAACCGUCCAUUCUAAAUGGACAGUUGAGAUGGCUCUAAUCACAAUGUCAUGUCUCUAUACUGUUUUAUUUUUAAUUAUUUUUUUACAAAAUAUUUUGACACCAAAUUUUGGGUGUCCACUCCUCUCUUAAACCCGCAGUUGUAAAAAAUAUAAAAAAAAUAGUCCCAAUAAUAUAAAAUAACCAAAAU
rnacentral:lncRNA from 1 species